rfam:Caenorhabditis briggsae complete genome, chrII
UUAUCGCGGAUCUCUCUGGCCUUGGAGGUUUCUCAUCGUAGUGAUACAAAACCAAAACCAUACGAUAUCACCGGGUGAGAAUCUUCCAAGGUAGGAGGAUCCUGC